rnacentral:rRNA from 1 species
CCGCCGGUGUUGUUGUGAGAAGUUCAUUAAACCUUAUCAUUUAGAGGAAGGAGAAGUCGUAACAAGGUUUCCGUAGGUGAACCUGCGGAAGGAUCAUUGAACACACGAUCUUGGAAAAACCCUGCGAACCGUUGUUCGUCUCACGAGGGAUCGUGCCCGGAGGCACGGUCUUCGGUGCCCGAGUCGGGGAUUCAUGUGCGUCCGCCGUGAUCCUCCCGUUGGUGCGUGGCGGGAACAAGCGACUCGGGUUCUCACCGUUGGAAGACGCCCCGACACGCGCGGUUUCGUGUCCUGGGGGACUCGGAGUCGGGGGUGUGUCCCCUCCUCCGAAGGGAAGGGAACCCGGGGGGUGAGGGUGUUUCCUCUCUGCCUUGGCGGAACAGGAUCGGCUCCCCCUCGGGUCAGACCCCCCUUUCGGUGCCCUUAUUUUUCUCCUCGCAAAGGAACCGGCUGAAAACGAAUCUUGAUGGACUGGGGAGGACGAGGGAUCGUCACGGUGCAACUCCUGCCGCGCGAUCUCGAGUCCCGAAGUAAGGCGAAGAACACGAAAUGACUCUCAGCAACGGAUAUCUUGGCUCUUGCAACGAUGAAGAACGCAGCGAAAUGCGAUACCUAGUGUGAAUUGCAGAAUUCCGCGAAUCAUCGAGUUUUUGAACGCAAGUUGCGCCCGAGGCUCGUUCCGAGGGCAUGUCUGCCUGAGCGUCCGCUCCGACCCACCCACCAGUCUUCCUCUCCUCCGAAAGGGGACGGAAGAUCGCGGUGCGAGUGGAACUGGUCGUCCGGGAACCCGCCCGUCGCCCGUAGCGGCGACGGUGGAGGGAUUCGCGGUUGGCUGAAAUAGGAGGAGCCGUCCGUCAAACGCGCGCUUGGGUUUUUAAAAGGUGCGUCGCGAGAAGGUGCCGUCCUCUCCCCGUCGUUCUCGAUUGAAGAUGGGACGUGUUCGUAACAAAGCGUCGUGCCUCCCCUGCGGAGUCGGGACUUGACGGAUUGGUGGGAAUUUGCAUGGGAAACGCCCGAAGGCUUUUGUAUCCUCCCUCGGGGCGGUGCAAGUCUGGACGUGACGCUGUUGGACCUCAGAUCAGGCAAGACCACCCGCUGAGUUUAAGCAUAUCACUAAGCGGAGGAAAAGAAACUAACAAGG